CCGUGUUCGUGAACGUCUCCAAAGGCCAGGUCGCUAAGAAGGAAGACCUCAUCAGUGCUUUCGGCACCGACGAUCAAACAGAAAUCUGCAAGCAGAUUUUGACUAAAGGAGAGGUUCAGGUAUCUGA